rfam:[Clostridium] paradoxum JW-YL-7 = DSM 7308 strain JW-YL-7 ctg1, whole genome shotgun sequence.
UUGACCUUUUAAUUCAGUCCAGAGAGGCUGAAAAAGGGAGAAUUUAAUUUCUCCCUCCUUAUAAAAAACAUAUAGGAGGUAUUUUUAU